GCCGCGGUAACACCGGCGGCCCGAGUGGUGAUCGUGAUUAUUGGGUCUAAAGGGUCCGUAGCCGGUUUGGUCAGUCCUCCGGGAAAUCUGAUAGCUCAACUAUUAGGCUUUCGGGGGAUACUGCCAGACUUGGAACCGGGAGAGGUAAGAGGUACUACAGGGGUAGGAGUGAAAUCUUGUAAUCCCUGUGGGACCACCUGUGGCGAAAGGCGUCUUACCAGAACGGGUUCGACGGUGAGGGACGAAAGCUGGGGGCACGAACCGGAUUAGAUACCCGGGUAGUCCCAGCCGUAAACGAUGCUCGCUAGGUGUCAGGCAUGGCGCGACCGUGUCUGGUGCCGCAGGGAAGCCGUGAAGCGAGCCACCUGGGAAGUACGGCCGCAAGGCUGAAACUUAAAGGAAUUGGCGGGGGAGCACAACAACGGGUGGAAGCCUGCGGUUUAAUUGGACUCAACGCCGGACAACUCACCGGGGGCGACAGCAAUAUGUAGGCCAAGCUGAAGACUUUGCCUGAAUCGCUGAGAAGAGGUGCAUGG
rnacentral:rRNA from 1 species